rnacentral:tRNA from 1 species
ACAGUGGUGGGUCAGUGGUAGAAGUCUCACCUUUCCAUGUGGGAGACCUGGGUUCGAUUCCCAGUCAAUGCA